GACGAACGCUGGCGGCGUGCUUAACACAUGCAAGUCGAACGAAGAGCGAUGGAAGCUUGCUUCUAUCAAUCUUAGUGGCGAACGGGUGAGUAACGCGUAAUCAACCUGCCCUUCAGAGGGGGACAACAGUUGGAAACGACUGCUAAUACCGCAUACGAUCUAAUCUCGGCAUCGAGGAUAGAUGAAAGGUGGCCUCUACAUGUAAGCUAUCACUGAAGGAGGGGAUUGCGUCUGAUUAGCUAGUUGGAGGGGUAACGGCCCACCAAGGCGAUGAUCAGUAGCCGGUCAGAGAGGAUGAACGGCCACAUUGGGACUGAGACACGGCCCAGACUCCUACGGGAGGCAGCAGUGGGGAAUCUUCCGCAAUGGACGAAAGUCUGACGGAGCAACGCCGCGUGAGUGAUGACGGCCUUCGGGUUGUAAAGCUCUGUUAAUCGGGACGAAAGGCCUUCUUGCGAAUAGUGAGAAGGAUUGACGGUACCGGAAUAGAAAGCCACGGCUAACUACGUG
rnacentral:rRNA from 1 species